ACGGGAGGCAGCAGUGGGGGAUAUUGCACAAUGGGGGAAACCCUGAUGCAGCGACGCCGCGUGAGUGAUGAAGUAUUUCGGUAUGUAAAGCUCUAUCAGCAGGAAAGAUAAUGACGGUACCUGACUAAGAAGCACCGCUAAAUACGUGCCAGCAGCCGCGGUAAUACGUAGGGAGCAAGCGUUAUCCGGAUUUACUGGGUGUAAAGGGCGUGUAGGCGGGACCGCAAGUCAGAUGUGAAAGCACGAGGCUCAACUUCGUGUCUGCAUUUGAAACUGUAGUUCUUGAGUGUUGGAGAGGCUAACGGAACUCCUAGUGUAGCGGUGAAAUGCGUAGAUAUUAGGAAGAACACCAGUGGCGAAGGCGGUUAGCUGGACAAUAACUGACGCUGAGGCGCGAAAGCGUGGGUAGCAAACAGGAUUAGAUACCCUGGUA
rnacentral:rRNA from 1 species